rnacentral:rRNA from 1 species
ACGGAAGGCAGCAGUGGGGGAUAUUGCACAAUGGGGGAAACCCUGAUGUAGCAACGCCGCGUGAGGGAAGAAGGUUUUCGGAUUGUAAACCUCUGUUUUCGGUGACGAAACAAAUGACGGUAGCCGAAGAGGAAGCCACGGCUAACUACGUGCCAGCAGCCGCGGUAAUACGUAGGUGGCAAGCGUUGUCCGGAUUUACUGGGUGUAAAGGGUGCGUAGGCGGGACUGCAAGUUGGAUGUGAAAUACCGGGGCUCAACCCCGCAGCUACAUCCAAAACUGUGGUUCUUGAGUGGAGUAGAGGUAAGCGGAAUUCCGAGUGUAGCGGUGAAAUGCGUAGAUAUUCGGAGGAACACCAGUGGCGAAGGCGGCUUACUGGGCUCUAACUGACGCUGAGGCACGAAAGCAUGGGGAGCAAACAGGAUUAGAUACCCUGGUA